UAUAUCUCACAGCUUAGUUUCCGGCGAUGCCGGAAAGCGGGGGAACCAUUUUUCCGGGGCGAAUCGGUCCGCUUAAUCGACCGUAGGGAACCAUCUAUCCCGAGUCCGUCAGCUAACCUCGUCAGCUUUGGGUGGGUCAUA
rnacentral:sRNA from 2 species